rnacentral:rRNA from 1 species
GGGAAUAUUGGGCAAUGGGUGAGAGCCUGACCCAGCCAUGCCGCGUGCAGGAAGAAGGCGUUCUGCGGUGUAAACUGCUUUUGAUCGGGAAGAAAGCGUCUUUGCGAAGACAGUUGACGGUUCCGAUAGCAUAAGCACCGGCUAACUCAGUGCAAGCAGCCGCGGUCAUACGGAGGGUGAAAGCGUUGUCCGGAUUCAUUGGGUUUAAAGGGUGCGUAGGCGGAUAGUUAAGUCAGUGGUGAAAGGCAGCGGCUCAACCGUUGAGUUGCCAUUGAUACUGGCAGUCUUGAGUGCACUAGAGGUAAGUGGAAUUUAUGGUGUAGCGGUGAAAUGCAUAGAUACCAUAAAGAACACCAAUAGCGAAGGCAGCUUACUAGAGUGUAACUGACGCUGAGGCACGAAAGCGUGGGGAGCGAAC